CAGCACUGUGACCUCUCUGCAUGUUCCCCAUUUGUGUUGUGUUCCGGGGUCCUGGCUGCAUGGUGGGAUUUCCUGUGCGCCGUAUCACCUUUUUACCACCAGAUGGCGACAGGUUCUGGUUGGAGUGCGGGGCAUCAUCAUCCGCAGCUGUUCAGGAUCAUCCUCAUCAGCGGUGCAGAUUUAAGGAGUUGGCCGCCAGUCCAGCGUCGCCUGAGUGUUAGCCAGUCACGGUUAUCCCUUGACGAGAUCCUGACUGAUUUCCUGGUUUUUUGAACCGCCCUCGUGACGCCGUGGAAAAUACCCACAGGUUGCCCGAGUUCCCAGACUCAUCUCUCCGUUGUUUGCAAAUCUUCCCUGGACUCCACGGCUGGCGGCCGUUCCAUUCCUCCGUGUCUCCGUUGCACCCAAGCCUACCUGUCCGCUCCCCGCCGCACUCCUCCAUUGUUCCUGGACCCACCAAGAAAACAAGACCCCGGACAUACACAGUUUCCCCUCCAAGACUUCAUUCAUCUACCACAAUGAACUAUUGUUGCUGUUAUUGUCGUUUUUCCCCGGACCAGACCAUCCUGAUCAUCUCUCAAUAUUGUGUGAUCACUAUUAAAUCAUUUAACACUGAUACUACCUCUCCUGUUUUGGUGUUCUGCAUGUGGGCUUGUUUCAAACUACCAUCAUGACAGAACACUCAGGCCAACAAAUCAGCCCAGCAGACGCAAUCCGGAGAGCCUUAGCCGAACAACAAUCAAUAUUACAAACUCAUGAAAACGCAUUAAGAGAACUAAGUAAAAUCCAAACUGAAACUAACCAACAACUGUCUGA